AAAAGGAAAUGGGCCAAGGGGGUGAUAAGUGAGAAUAAGUGGUGAUGAAAUAGAAAAAUAAAGAUGCCCAUUCAUUCAGUACCAAACGAGAUGAAGAAGAGAGGCAAUCUGAUUUCCCUCCCUCCAAAUUUAAACUUUCAAACCAUUUCCCGCUCCACUGGGUCGGAGCUCGUCGGCGGCGGCGACGGAGCUCAUACCACCAUCCAUAUAAACCAGACUCACCCCUCUAUCCUAUUGAACACGAAAAUCAAACUCACUCAACCUAAAUCCUGAACCCAAUGAUGAAUCGAAGGAAAUGGUGGACGAACCCUAGAACCGAAAACAAAAAUUAAAUGUUGGACUCGGCUCAAUCAGGUCUAAAAUCUUAGGGGAAAUGUUCCCCUGGUUGAACUCUACACAGUGGUAUCUCACACGUAAGAAAAUAAGUUGUUUUUAGCAAGCUACAUUGUCGGAGAAGAUGGCCGGAAAAGCAACAGGUAAGUGUUAUUUCUCUCCUUUCUCUCUCAUAUCUCACUUCUUCUUCUACUUUGAGGGAUUAUGAGAAAGAUGCCGAGAUUUCUCUUGAGUGUGUUUUCAAUCCCGAUAUUCAACCCCAAACCUUUUUUCAUUAUGAAAGUAUCCUUUUAUAGUGGAGCAAAUAUGGUUUGUAGUUCUUGAGAGGGAGAGAGGUUAGUAGACUUUGUUGGUGCAUCAUUAUGUUUGUCCAAAAAUAUGUUUCGAUUCUGAAAAGUGCAUUGCACUUGUACCUUUUGCUUGCUUUUCUUGUCUUGUUAUGGAAUGUUUCUCUUUCUUAGGUUUUUACUGUAGUAAAUAGUAACUAAGUGAGUUUCGGUUUUUUAGGUAGCUUGAUUUUGUUUGGAUUGUUGCUACGUUUUAUGGUUGAUUCACUUCCUUGAUUCAGCUACUAUGCAUUAUUGCUUGGUUAUGAUGAAAACCUUGGAUAUGAUUGCAGGUUGUUAAUGGUGUGAAUUACCUGUUGCAGGAUUGAUGAAUGGAAUUGUUUAGGAUUGCUUGCUGUAGGUUGUGGAUAUGGUUGUGGUUUUGUUGUUAAUGUCUAGUUGUUGUUUUGUAGAUCAAAUGGUUUAGGUGUUUGGUGUACUGAAUGGAGAGUCAUGUUUAGGUCUUGAUGGUUUGAUUGAAUGCGGGUUCUGCUCAUGGUUGCUAGGUUUCUACAUGUAUCAAUGGUUUUGCCUUAGAUCAUGCUUUGGUCUAUUGCAGGUUGUGUUAGCAAAGUAGUUUGCAGGUCUGGCUUGGUCAUGUUCAUGAUCUGUUGCAGGUUGCAUUUGGUGCAGGCCUGGCUUAUUAGCAUGGUUAUGUUGAGCUGAUGUUUUACAAGGCUAUAGGUCUGUUGUGUAUGCUGCUACAUGAAUGUUGUUUUGUUACCCAACGCUCAUGAUUGGGUCAAUCCAAACUGGUUUAUAUGGAUUAUGCAUUGUGUUGAUGCAGCUUUUGUUUUCAAUGUUAGGCCUAUCAAUGAUGGUAUGGUAGUGAAUGACAUUGUGUGGCAUGUCAACUUGUUAGGCAUGUUAUUCAUUGUCUUAAAUAAACUAAUAUGUUGUUUUAUUGUUAGUGUUGAUGGCAGGUGGUACUUGAUGCUGCAGCAGGUUGGUUUGCAAUGUUAGUGUGCCUUGACAUAGGUUUACAAGUUCUUUUUUGCUUUGAUAAUGGCUAUGGUUAUGUUUAGGUUACAAUGUGAUGGAUGUGCAUUGCUUCUUUUGUUGUAUGACUUGGUUGUUUGGAUUUGUAAUAAUGCCUUGGAUUGGUUAUGAUUGAUGGCAUGAACAUGACAUGGUUAUUUUUUUGUAGGUUGGCAUGAUGAACAUGGUUGAAAUCAAGGCAUGACUUGCAAAUGAAGUGAGACAUGGUGGAAACAAGAAAAUAUGGACCUUAAUGAAUUAUGGAAGAAUGGAGGAAUGGAUUAGGGUUUAGGAUGGUCAAAGUUGAUUAGUUGACUUUGGGCAACCAUUUGACCAAAAAGUCAAUAGUUGACCAAAAGUUAACUUAGGUAGAAAAGUCAAUUUUUUUUGUGUAAUCUCUUAUGUAUGGACAUUUGUAAUGAAAUAAGCAUUUGGUGAAUGGAAAUGAUAUUUGAAUGAAAUUUAUUGUUAAUUAAA
rnacentral:lncRNA from 1 species